CAGCUCAGUGGUAAAGUCUCUGCUUGGCAUACAGAACGUCUCGGGUUCGACCCCUGGCAGGUAGG